rnacentral:rRNA from 1 species
GACGAACGCUGGCGGCGUGCUUAACACAUGCAAGUCGAACGGAAAGGCCCUGCUUUUGUGGGGUGCUCGAGUGGCGAACGGGUGAGUAACACGUGAGUAACCUGCCCUUGACUUUGGGAUAACUUCAGGAAACUGGGGCUAAUACCGGAUAGGAGCUCCUGCUGCAUGGUGGGGGUUGGAAAUUUUCGGCGGUUGGGGAUGGACUCGCGGCUUAUCAGCUUGUUGGUGGGGUAGUGGCUUACCAAGGCUUUGACGGGUAGCCGGCCUGAGAGGGUGACCGGCCACAUUGGGACUGAGAUACGGCCCAGACUCCUACGGGAGGCAGCAGUGGGGAAUAUUGCACAAUGGGCGGAAGUCUGAUGCAGCAACGCCGCGUGCGGGAUGACGGCCUUCGGGUUGUAAACAGCUUUCGCCUGUGACGAAGCGUGAGUGACGGUAAUGGGUAAAGAAGCACCGGCUAACUACGUG